rnacentral:lncRNA from 10 species
ACCUGGUCUCUGCUAAAAAUACAAAAAAAUUAGCCGGGCGUGGUGGCGGGCGCCUGAAGUCCCAGCUACUCGGCAGGCUGAGGCAGGAGAAGGGCGUGAACCCGGGAGUCGGAGCUUGCAGUGAGCUGAGAUCGCGCCACUGCCCUCCAACCUGGGUGACAGUGCGAGACUCUGUCUCAAAAACAAACAAACAAACAAACAAAAAAAAAAAACUAGAGGCCACAUCUCAGGAUAUGUGGAGAAAUCACAACACAAUUCCAGGAGUCAUUCUGUAUGUAUUUCACGAGGCCAUGUGAAGACCUGUGUCUUUCCCAUUUACUCUGCCAUUCAUUUUAACAGGAUUUUAAUGCAGCUGCAUGUUUUCAACUGUACUUAACGGACCCUGCUCAUGACUUCUUGGUAAUGUAUCAAGGUUUAGACUUCAUCUCUGGGCUCAUCGGAAAGCCUAAGUUUGUUUAAACAGUAAAGAGAUCUCACUUGCACUCCUCUUUCUCCAACCAAUCAAGUAGACCAUCCAAAUUUAAUAUUGAUAAUAUCCAAAUUUUCACAACUCCCAUCUUAGGAAAGAUCUGACUUCCAGGAAGCAGAAUGAUGGUGAUUCCUGUUCUGGUGUGACUUGCCUGUCACAGGGCCCUUCAAAAUUGCCUAUGCCUCCUUUAUACACUUAGCUUAAGCAAGAGAAAAGCUUCUAUAAUGUAGCCUUUAUCCCUGAGUGGGCACCUAGAUUAAGCUGGGUUAUUCACAGUGCUUUGCAAUACCAGUCAGGGUUUUCCAGAGAAACAGAACCAAUACAAUAUAUAUCGAUAUAUAGAAAGAGAUUUAUUAUAAAACAUUGGCUGAUGUGAUUAUAGAGACUAAGUCCCAGAAUCUGUCAUCUACAAACUGGAGAACCAGGAAGCUACUAGUGUAGCUCCAGUCUAACCCAAAGGUCUGAGAACGAAGGAGCUGAUGGUGUAAGUCCCUGUCUGAGUCUGAAGGCAUGAGAACAAGGAGCAUUAAUGUACAGUUUCCAGUGUUUCAGGGGCAGAAGACAAAUGUCCCAGCUCAAGCAGAGAGCAAAUUAGCCCUUCUGCUGCCUUUUAUUCUAUUCAGGCCCUCAAAAAUUGGAUGUUGCCCACUCACAUUGGUGAGAGUGGGUCUUCUUUGUUCAGUCUACUGAUUCAAAUGCUAAUCUCUUCUAGAAACACCUUCAUGGACACAUCCAUAAAUCAUGUUUUAUCAACUAUCUGGUCAUCCCGUAGCCCAGUCAGGUUGACACAUAGAAUUGACGAUUCCACCUGCCCUCCUGGCAAGUAUGUAAAGUUCAGCAAUGAGCAUCAGACCCAGAGCCAAAGAGCAUCCUUGCUGGAUUUUUGUGUCUAGAGACAAAGUAAGAGAAGUUUGUGUGAGCUUCUUAUCAGCGAUUAAAGAUAUGAAGAAAACAGAAGCUGUACCACCUGUAUUCCAUUUAUUCAAGAGAAGCAGAGGAAGGAGAGAAAAAGGAAAGCCAAUAUGCAACCUGUGCAAAGCAAAAAUCCCAGAGAGAUGAAGGUGUUGGUUUUUGCUUUUGUUUUUGCCAUGAGGAUUUUGAAGUCCUUUUGCCAAACCUGCCAUUCUGGACAAUUGUUUGAUGACUUAUCAAACUGUCAUAUCCUUUCAACAAAUCUGUUUUGUUUUGUAUUGUUUUGAUUUAAGCUAAUAGGGUUUGUUUCUGGCUUUUGCCAGAAACAAAAAAGUGAGUCUUGUCUAAUAUAGGUCAAUGGCUUUAUAUAUAAAGCUAUUGUAUUAGGACUGUUUACAACAUGAAAACAACAACAACAACAGACGUGAAAUAAUCCACAAUGUAAAUGUAGUUAAAUAAGUCAUGGUAAAAACUAUAAAAAUGAAAUAUGUUGUAGCCUUUAAAACUAUGUUUCCAAAGAUUGUUAAAUAAUCAGUGUUUAUGUAAGAAACUAUUAAGUGAGAACGCAGAAUACAAAACUAAUCAAUAUUAAUUAUGUGUGUUUGUACAUACAUAGAUGAAUGUUUAGAAGAAAAAACAUGAAAAUAUCAGGAGCAGUCAACUGUGGGUGGUGGGCUCACAGGUGGCAUGGUGUUCACGUGCUCUUUUACUUAACAAAUAUCCACCCUUGGAGAGUUCAAAAUCUAUGUGCAUCACCUUAAGACUCCUUUCUCUUUUAUUUACUUUCUGUACUGUCUAUUUCACUUCACUUCAUUAAAUCUUUUAUAUUAAGC